rnacentral:ncRNA from 1 species
CACUCUGCAAAGUGCGAAUGAUCGCACGCCGACGGUGCAACCGGAAUCCCGGGAAUCUCUCAGGCAGAUUACAGAGGCGCA